GAUGAACGCUGGCGGCGUGCCUAAUACAUGCAAGUCGAGCGAAUGGAUUAAGAGCUUGCUCUUAUGAAGUUAGCGGCGGACGGGUGAGUAACACGUGGGUAACCUGCCCAUAAGACUGGGAUAACUCCGGGAAACCGGGGCUAAUACCGGAUAACAUUUUGAACCGCAUGGUUCGAAAUUGAAAGGCGGCUUCGGCUGUCACUUAUGGAUGGACCCGCGUUGCAUUAGCUAGUUGGUGAGGUAACGGCUCACCAAGGCAACGAUGCGUAGCCGACCGGAGAGGGUGAUCGGCCACACUGGGACUGAGACACGGCCCAGACGCCUACGGGAGGCAGCAGUAGGGAAUCUUCCGCAAUGGACGAAAGUCUGACGGAGCAACGCCGCGUGAGUGAUGAAGGCUUUCGGGUCGUAAAACUCUGUUGUUAGGGAAGAACAAGUGCUAGUUGAAUAAGCUGGCACCUUGACGGUACCUAACCAGAAAGCCACGGCUAACUACGUGCCAGCCGCCGCCGUAA
rnacentral:rRNA from 1 species